CAACAGGGAUUGCCCCAGUAACGGCGAGUGAAGCGGCAACAGCUCAAAUUUGAAAUCUGGUCCCUAGGGCCCGAGUUGUAAUUUGUAGAGGAUGCUUUUGGUGAGGUGCCGCCCGAGUUCCCUGGAACGGGACGCCACAGAGGGUGAGAGCCCCGUCUGGCUGGCCGCCGAGCCUCUGUAAAGCUCCUUCGACGAGUCGAGUAGUUUGGGAAUGCUGCUCAAAAUGGGAGGUAUAUGUCUUCUAAAGCUAAAUAUUGGCCAGAGACCGAUAGCGCACAAGUAGAGUGAUCGAAAGAUGAAAAGCACCUUGAAAAGAGGGUUAAAUAGUACGUGAAAUUGUUGAAAGGGAAGCGCUUGUGACCAGACUUGGGCGCGGCGGAUCAUCCGGGGUUCUCUCCGGUGCACUUCGCCGCGUCUAGGCCAGCAUCAGUUCGUCGCGGGGGAAAAAGGCUUCGGGAACGUGGCUCCUCCGGGAGUGUUAUAGCCCGUUGCAUAAUACCCUGCGGUGGACUGAGGACCGCGCAUCUGCAAGGAUGCUGGCGUAAUGGUCACCAGCGACCCGUCUUGAAACACGGACCAAGGAGUCGUCUUCGUAUGCGAGUGUUCGGGUGUCAAACCCCUACGCGUAAUGAAAGUGAACGCAGGUGAGAGCUUCGGCGCAUCAUCGACCGAUCCUGAUGUUCUCGGAUGGAUUUGAGUAAGAGCAUACGGGGCCGGACCCGAAAGAAGGUGAACUAUGCCUGUAUAGGGUGAAGCCAGAGGAAACUCUGGUGGAGGCUCGCAGCGGUUCUGACGUGCAAAUCGAUCGUCAAAUAUGGGCAUGGGGGCGAAAGACUAAUCGA
rnacentral:rRNA from 1 species